GACGAACGCUGGCGGCGUGCUUAACACAUGCGAGUCGAACGGAAAGGCCCUGCUUUUGUGGGGUGCUCGAGUGGCGAACGGGUGAGUAACACGUGAGUAACCUGCCCUUGACUUUGGGAUAACUUCAGGAAACUGGGGCUAAUACCGGAUAGGAGCUCCUGCUGCAUGGUGGGGGUUGGAAAGUUUCGGCGGUUGGGGAUGGACUCGCGGCUUAUCAGCUUGUUGGUGGGGUAGUGGCUUACCAAGGCUUUGACGGGUAGCCGGCCUGAGAGGGUGACCGGCCACAUUGGGACUGAGAUACGGCCCAGACUCCUACGGGAGGCAGCAGUGGGGAAUAUUGAACAAUGGGCGGAAGCCUGAUGCAGCAACGCCGCGUGCGGGAUGACGGCCUUCGGGUUGUAAACCGCUUUCGCCUGUGACGAAGCGUGAGUGACGGUAAUGGGUAAAGAAGCACCGGCUAACUACGUG
rnacentral:rRNA from 1 species